GACGAGGUAGUCAUCGACAUUA
rnacentral:snRNA from 1 species